rnacentral:tRNA from 1 species
AAAGCUUUAAGUUAAAUAAACUAUUAACCUUCAAAGUUAAAAUUACAGGUAUAAAUGUAAGCUUUA